rnacentral:rRNA from 1 species
GACGAACGCUGGCGGCGUGCUUAACACAUGCAAGUCGAACGGUAAGGCCCCAGCUUGCUGGGGUACACGAGUGGCGAACGGGUGAGUAACACGUGGGUGACCUGCCCCGCACUUCGGGAUAAGCCUGGGAAACUGGGUCUAAUACCGGAUAGGACCGCACCGUGAGGGUGUGGUGGAAAGUUUUUCGGUGUGGGAUGGGCCCGCGGCCUAUCAGCUUGUUGGUGUGGUAAUGGCCUACCAAGGCGGCGACGGGUAGCCGGCCUGAGAGGGUGGACGGCCACAUUGGGACUGAGACACGGCCCAGACUCCUACGGGAGGCAGCAGUGGGGAAUAUUGCACAAUGGGCGGAAGCCUGAUGCAGCGACGCCGCGUGGGGGAUGACGGCCUUCGGGUUGUAAACCUCUUUCAGUAGGGAAGAAGCGAAAGUGACGGUACCUGCAGAAGAAGCACCGGCUAACUACGUG